AACCAUUUGCUUCUCCUAUUGACAUGGCAAUAGUUCAAUAAAGUGAUUAAAAUACGAAAAAAAUGCAUUAUAAAAAAUAAAAACCAGGUAAAGGAUAUUUGGAAGUACCAUUCAUUCAUUUAUGGAAAUGUAUUGAAAUAGCGUUAAAUUAUGCUCAUUAGGUUAUCCAACUGAAGAUUAUGAUUAUAAUUAAAGCUUGUUGUAAACCAGGAUAACAUGACCGCAAACCUUCAACUGUCUCAAUCUCCAACCGUAAAUGUAUCAGAGCUUUAGAAACCUACCGAUGUAACCGAAUAGCUUAUCCACCUUGUCGAAAUUUCCAACCUCAUAGAACUUGUCGGCCAAUUCGCAAUGCAAUGGAUUUGAACGAACAGAUUUGGUAAUGUAAAGAUAUUGAUUAAAGUCUUUCAGAUCAUUCUCGUAUUCAUUUAUACUUGUUGACUAUACAAUGCAGAUCAGUUCGUAAAAGUGGACGUAACUAUGAUGCCAACAAUAGCUAAAGGAUAGACAAGUAAACUGUCAAGAUUCAUUUGACUAAAUCUUUACGAGUCAAUGUAAUAUAUGGACUGAAUAGUCAUAUAUUACAUGUUGUUAUGAUUUCAAGUUCAAGACAUGAUGAUAACAACGCCUUUUAACGUAAUCACCGUUAUCAAUCUGUUUAACUUGGAAGCUACAAAAAACUUAAAAUUUUUGAGAAGAGUUAAAUCUUGUAAUAUCAGAAAUUCAGUCUUACAAUUAUUCUCGACUAGAUAGACCAACAUGCAAAAUAGUGAAGCCGCCUGACAUUGAGUUUUCAUGAAAAGAAACCAGCUUUAAAGACCAUUUACUUUGAUAAGACAAAACUCUCAUGUGAAAGAGUUAUUCAGUACGUAGAUUAUCUCGUUAAUUGUUAAUCACUUGUUUUCUUAUGCACCGAGGAAUAUAAGUUAACAUUUUAUCAAAAUGUUACAAUCGUCAGGACAUACUUAUAUUCAAGUACAAUUGUCAGUGUAAUAAUCAGUGAUAAUCCUCUUUAUACCUGAAUACUUUGAAUAAAGUAACUCUUUUACACUAGAUUUUUGUCUGUUAAAAUAGGUUUUGACAAUUAAAAGCUGGUUUUGUUAUAAAAGUUGGUUCUUUUCAAACCAGAAUGAUUGUACUCACAACUCACCAGUGCAAUUUAAAUCAAUUUAAACUCAAACGUGUUUUUUAUGAAAUGAUUCAAAUCGUGUAUUUGAGAAGACUUUUUAAAAUUGCAGUUUGUUUUCAAUCAUUAUGUCAAUUACUAAAGAAACUAUUGAUAUCGAUCAUCUAACUUGAGGUUAAACUUCAUCAAAUCCAAAUGUUACUCGUUUCAUCAGAACUGGUAAAUGUUAUUAAAAUCACUUUUUUCAAUAUUUACUUGUAAGGUUAUCAUUAGCCUUGAACCAAAUUCACCAGAAUAUAUUCACUCCUGCAAAUUAUCAAGAAUAACCUUUUAAUUUCAAUUAAUUGAUUACCACAGCAAUUCCCAGAUUAUCCGAUUUAUCAAAUUGAUAUGUUUACAUUCAUGAAUAGACAACUUGUAUUGAUCAAUAAGUUUGAAGAAAUUCUGUUUGGUAAUUUGAAUUUCUAUGGAAAUAUGAUCGUGAAAGGAGGAAAAGACUAGACUUACCAUUAGAAGCCAUUGUGUCAGUUGAAUAAAGCAUGGUAAAACACUUGAAUCGUGAAUUUUCUG